CCUAGCGCUUUUGACAACACUGUUUGAAAUGCAUAAUUUUAGUCCUCUUAGAUUAUAAUAUGUUGCAUAUGCAGAAUGUUCAUGCUUAAAGAUUGUCACAGUUAUCUGACAAUGGGGAGUCCUCAUGCAUGCACAUAGUUUAUAAGCUGCAAAAAGGUGGUGGGCAACUCUGAGGUGUAUUUAAACUAUUGAAGUCAAUGAAUAGAAUGAAAACUUGUAUUGUUUAAUUGUAGGAACGAAUGAGAUAUUGAUAUUUCCAUGUGCUCAUGUUCAAACGACAAUGAACAAGAAACUUUGGAAACUUGUUAUCCAACAUUUGUGAUAAAGAUAAUGUGGCCUCUUUCCAUAUAUAUCUAAAAAGAAAUAACACCUCUGGUAGAUUGCUUUCUAAGUUAUCAUGGUUAGGCUUUUAGUGCACUAUUUCUCUCACAUUUGUGUUGGUGUUCCAUGCAUCCCUUCAUAUGCUAAGCUGAUAAAACAAGUUAAGAGGAAGAUUUUUGCCGCUGUUUAUGAUGGUUUUAUGUGAACAUCAUAUCUGGAAAUAUAUUAUCAUGGCAUCAUCUAUAGGGACAGCAUACCCUUGGUAGGUUCACCUAAACAAAGUUCUAAAACUCACCUAAGGGUUUUGUAUCUGCAGG
rnacentral:misc_RNA from 1 species